rnacentral:rRNA from 1 species
GAUGAACGCUGGCGGCGUGCCUAAUACAUGCAAGUUGAGCGAACGGACGAGAAGCUUGCUUCUCUGAUGUUAGCGGCGGACGGGUGAGUAACACGUGGAUAACCUACCUAUAAGACUGGGAUAACUUCGGGAAACCGGAGCUAAUACCGGAUGAUAUUUUGAACCGCAUGGUUCAAAAGUGAAAGACGGUCUUGCUGUCACUUAUAGAUGGAUCCGCGCUGCAUUAGCUAGUUGGUAAGGUAACGGCUUACCAAGGCAACGAUGCAUAGCCGACCUGAGAGGGUGAUCGGCCACACUGGAACUGAGACACGGUCCAGACUCCUACGGGAGGCAGCAGUAGGGAAUCUUCCGCAAUGGGCGAAAGCCUGACGGAGCAACGCCGCGUGAGUGAUGAAGGUCUUCGGAUCGUAAAGCUCUGUUAUUAGGGAAGAACAUAUGUGUAAGUAACUGUGCACAUCUUGACGGUACCUAAUCAGAAAGCCACGGCUAACUACGUG